UACAGAGGUCUCAAGCGUUGUUCGGAUUCAUUGGGCGUAAAGGGGCGCGUAGGCUGCGGGGGCAAGUCGGGUGUGAAAUCUCAGAGCUCAACUCUGAAACUGCACUCGAUACUGCUUUUGCUCGAGGACUGGAGAGGAGAUUGGGAAUUUACGGUGUAGCGGUGAAAUGCGUAGAUAUCGUAAGGAAGACCAGUGGCGAAGGCGGGUCUCUGGACAGUUCCUGACGCUGGGAGACGAAGGCCAGGGAGCAAACGGGAUU
rnacentral:rRNA from 1 species